UCACACAGGGAAGGGCUGCAAGUACAAAGUCCUGCACCAGACUGCAAUCUAUCAGAGCAACUUUCAGUUCACUCCAGCCUCUUUCUUUGGGUUGUUUUUGAUGGUUGACAUUUUUCUGUUCUAUUUGCGUAAGGAGUUUUUUGUUUUUAUAUUAUAAAACUGCAUCCAAGCUUCCUGGUGUGCUGUGCCCUACCCCUGAAAAGUGGGCUUCCUUUUGAAUGAAUGCACUCCUGCCACUUCCAUAAUCUCUGACACAUAAUCCAUUGUACAGUUGGGCAGUCUCAGACUCUGUCUGUCUGUUAUUCUCUCUCUCCCUCUCUCUCUCUCAGGUGCCAUGAGGCUGCAACACUGUCUCUCCUGGAGCCUCUCUCUGCUACCUCUGCUCUUGUUGUCUUGUGGGUACCAGUGCGUGUCGGUCCACUUCCAGACCCCACAGCCGGUCAUUGUUCUCCCAGCCGGACGUCUAGUUCUCCAGGUCCAGAUCGACCGCGGUCCCAAAGAAAAGAUCUCCAUGAUAACCUGGGAGCGGGAGCCAGAGAACGCAAAGACUCCAGGGAAUCCUGGGAAGGUGACGUUGAUUACGUUCCCCGGGCAAGAAAAACGCUUGGACGGGCGUCUGAGUUUGGAGGAGCAGGGGUCAAUACUGAAGCUGGAGGGCUUUGGCAUGGCAGACAGUGGGGUGUACAUCGUGACCGUCACUGACCAGGCUGGCGUCAAGACCUCUGGACAGUGUACCGUCAAGGAGUACGCCUCAUACUUCUCAAGUCACCACCCCCAAGCCUCAGUAGACAACACGCUCAACUCACACUGUUACUUCACGACGCAACCACCAUCUGUCACUCUCUUUCUCCUCCUCAAUUUUCAGUUCCAACUUCCAAGUCUCACCUUUCUCACACCUGGUCUCAUUCUCUUUUCGCUGUCUCUUGUUUUUCCUCUCAGAGGCUGUGCACCACCCCUCAGUGAGAGUGAACGUGUCCCACUCCUCCCUGUUCUGUGUGGAGACCUGGGGGACAGACCUUAAAUUCAGCUGGCUCCACGAGCGGGCAGCCAUAACCGAUGCUGUGGGACACGUUUCGCCUGAUGGGAAGACCCUCGUCGUCUCCUCCGCCCCCAUCUGUGGUCACUUCACCUGCAUGGUGAGCAACAAGCUGGGCCACAGCUCUGCCACCUACACAGCAGAGCCGUGUGAGAGAGAGGGCAAGAGGACCACGGUGGCGGUGGUCUCUCUCAUCAUCUUGCUGGUCUGUGGAGCAGCGCUCGCUUUUCUACUGUGGAGGAGACACAGGCGAUACAGUAACAGAGGCGAGAGGCUUCAGGAGCAUUUUGAGGACAACUUGUAAUGGUGAACCAUUGAUACCAGUACCCAAGGUAUUUCGCUAUACUCCCCAACUCAAAGAUGGACUCAUAAAAGGACAGUAAGUGUACAAAACGCUUUGGGAGGAGCUUCCUUCCCUGUGAGCAGCAUGACCUUUCAGUGCAUUGGAACAAUGUGGAGAGUGAACUGCUUGUUGGCCAAUUGACGAGUUCUAAAAAUGGAAAGAGCAACUUUUGCCCGGUGUGUUGCCUGUUUUUGUAGUAGCUAUCAUUUUUACACCGCCUCGCAUUGUACUGAACUACACACUACUUUUUUUUAUAUAAUGCUCUAAAAUAAUUUGUUUUAAAUGAAAAACAAUUCCGUAUUUUGUAACUUUUGUAUAUUAUAAACAUUUUGUAUAUUUAGCUGUGUAUUCUUUGUAAUAAAAAGCACAUUUUAAACUGUG